GAUGAACGCUGGCGGCGUGCCUAACACAUGCAAGUCGAGCGUGAACCCUUAGAAUGAAACUUCGGUCGAAUGAAGAGGGGGAAAGCGGCGGACGGGUGAGUAACGCGUAGGCAACCUGCCCCGUACAGAGGGAUAGCCUCGGGAAACCGGGAUUAAAACCUCAUAACACCAUGGUAUCACAUGAUGCAAUGGUCAAAGAUUUAUCGGUAUGGGAUGGGCCUGCGUCUGAUUAGCUGGUUGGUGGGGUAACGGCCUACCAAGGCAACGAUCAGUAGCCGACCUGAGAGGGUAAUCGGCCACAUUGGAACUGAGACACGGUCCAAACUCCUACGGGAGGCAGCAGUGGGGAAUAUUGCACAAUGGGCGAAAGCCUGAUGCAGCAACGCCGCGUGAGCGAAGAAGGCCUUUGGGUCGUAAAGCUCUGUCGGGAAGGAAGAUAAUGACGGUACUUCCCGAGGAAGCCCCGGCUAACUACGUG
rnacentral:rRNA from 1 species